UGCCACAUUGGCACCUAUGGGGUGGAGCCAGGUAGGGCAGGAGCUGAGAACAGCCCCAGCCUUCAGGGGCCGCCCAGCCUCCAUCCGACUGCCUGGCCUCAAGCUGGGAGGAGGACCCCUGGGGAUGCAGCAUAUUUUAAGAUGUUGGUUUUAGGCAUGGACAUUUGAAUGAGCAGAAUGUGUGGGCUGCAGGCUGGGGUGGGAGAACCGAUGUCCGCAGGGCAAGAGAAUGCUGGUCUCUCUUGCCCUGCGGACAUCGCCAGGAGGCUCUUCCUGCGGCCAUUGUGAUUUUUAGGGUCAGAAAAUUAUUUGGAAAUAUUUUUUAUUCUGCAAAUAUUUUCUAUACAUUUUUUCUUGAGUGUUUUCCCUUAGUAUUUAGUAAAACUUCUUUUGAAAAUGCUGGCCUGCUGCACCUGUUCUCAGAGGGGCAUGAGAAAAGAGGAUUCUCUUCCUAGGGCUGUGGGAAGCCCCUUGAGAUGUUGGAAGCAGGGCAGGGCAGGAGAACCCAGGGAGGGCACAGAGCUGUGGACGAGGGCUGGGAAAGCCAUCCCGCCUCCCCAGGGGGUCUCCGAGGAGUGCUGCUGUGGCCAAACCAGGGGGGCCACUUUGUGCUUUCUGUUUAGGUGAUGGGAUGCUUCUAUCUCCUCAGCACCCCACACCAAAUCCCCUGUUAUUGCCAGAUGAUGUGCCUAAUGAUCAAAUUGCUUGGAACUCCUAAUAAUAAAACUUUAAAUCUA
ensembl:lncRNA novel transcript, antisense to PDE6B